rnacentral:SRP_RNA from 1 species
ACGAGGGGCCCCUGCGACGGCGGCCUCGCGAACCUGGUCAGGGUGGAAACGCAGCAGCCAUAAGCAUGUGUCUCCGGGUGUGGGGGCCUCUCGUCCG